rnacentral:rRNA from 1 species
UAGGUCCUGGGACAACCACUGGAAACGGUGGCUAAUACCGGGUGUGCCGAAAGGUGAAAGGUUAACUGCCUGGAGAUGAGCUCGCGUCUGAUUAGCUAGUUGGUAGGGUAAAGGCCUACCAAGGCGACGAUCAGUAGCUGGGCUGAGAGGACGAUCAGCCACACUGGGACUGAGACACGGCCCAGACUCCUACGGGAGGCAGCGGUGGGGAAUUUUCCGCAAUGGGCGAAAGCCUGACGGAGCAAUACCGCGUGAGGGAGGAAGGCUCUUGGGUUGUAAACCUCUUUUCUCAGGGAAGAAUAAUGACGGGACUUGAGGAAUAAGCHUCGGCUAACUCCGUGCCCGCAGCCGCGGUAAUACSGAGGAUGCAAGCGUUAUCCGGAAUGAUUGGGCGUAAAGCGGUCGCAGGGGGSAUUGAAAGUCUGCUGUCAAAGAGUCUGGCUCAACCMGAUACAGGCMGKGGAAACUUCAAAGCUAGAGUGCGGGAGGGGCAGAAGGAAUUCCCGGUGKAGCGGUGAAAUGCGUWRAGUUCWRGAARAACMCCGGUGGCGAAAGCGCUCYGCUAGACCGCAACUGACACUGAGGGACGAAAACUAGGGGAGCGAAAGGGAUUAGAUACCCCAGUAAUCAA